rnacentral:rRNA from 1 species
GACAUAGGUGGCGAACGUUAUCCGGAAUUAUUGGGCGUAAAGCGUCCGCAGGUGGCCUAUCAAGUCUGCUGUCAAAGACCGGGGCUUAACCCCAGAAAGGCAGUGGAAACUGAAAGGCUAGAGGAUGGUAGGGGCAGAGGGAAUUCCCAGUGUAGCGGUGAAAUGCGUAGAGAUUGGGAAGAACACCGGUGGCGAAAGCGCUCUGCUGGGCCAUAACUGACACUCAGGGACGAAAGCUAGGGGAGCGAAUGGG